AAAAUAACAAUAAUAAAAAAGAAUGAGAGGAAAAUAUGUAGGGUAGGAGACAAAGUUGUUUCACUAGGGUUUCUCUUUGUGGCAUUUGAGCUUCUUCUCCACAGAAUCGGCCCAUUCUCUUCAAUCACGAACGACAACCUCAACUUAACUUCGACGAUUCCAUCUCCGUCGUGCCGGUUUCCGAUUCCAUCUCCACCGCGCCGGUUUCCGAUUCCAUCUCCUACAGUUUCCGAUUCUAUCGCGAUUUCUCCCCUCCGAUGUCGUCACUUCCUCGCCGCCGUCCGUCACGACCUCCUCUCGCUCUCACGGUGUGAUUCACAUCGUAGUGUUCAAACUUCGCUCGUCUCAGCUCCGCUUAUCAUCAUUAAAAUGUGCGCAUCCUGUUGCUCGUGA